CCUUACCCGUGUUGGGGCUGCGCGCGAGCUCCGCGAGUAGAUGGUGCUUGUGUGGACUCGGGACGCGUUGCGGCGGCCUUGCUGCCCGGUAGCUGCGCGGGGCCCGGGGCUGGAGGGGGAGGGCGGCGGGGCGGGAGGAGCUGGGCCGGGAGUGGGCCCUGCGGUGCGGAAGGGUCGCGCCUCCUCUCCCGCGCCCCUGGCUGCGGAGUCGGACUGAAGGAGGCACCUGUUCUGAUGUUCCCUCCAGGGCGGUGGCCAGAGGCCCGACGUGGCCCGUCCAGACUAAGGUUUGAACAAAGGAAAUUCAUCCUGAAAUGCUACUAGAAGUUUGAAAAUACAGUUGAAGUACAAACACUGCCUUUAUAAUUAUUAAAAGUGUGUAUACCCAGGGUGUCUCCCAAAAAAUGUAUACACACUUUAACAGCUGAUGACUCACUAUAGAUUCAAUACAAUCCCUAUUAAAAUACCAAUGGCAUAUUUCACAGAUCUAGAACAAACGCUCCAAAAAUUUAUAUGGAAACAAUAAAAGACCCUGGAUAGCCACAGCAGUCUUGAGAAAGAAGAACAAAGUUGGAGGAAUCACAAUACCAGAUACCAAGUUAUACUACAAAGCCACUGUACUCAAAACAGCCUGGUACUGGCACAAGAACAGGCAUAUAGACUAAUGGAACAGAACAGAGAAUCCAGAAAUCGAUCCAAGCCAUUCAAACUCAAUAUUUGACAACGGAGGCAAGAGCAUACAAUGGAGUAAGGACAGCCUCUUCAAUAAAUGGUGUUGGGAAAUUG